rnacentral:rRNA from 1 species
UACGGAGGGUGCAAGCGUUAUCCGGAUUUAUUGGGCUUAAAGAGUGCGUAGGUGGGCAGGCAAGUCAGUGGUGAAAUCCCUCGGCUUAACCGGGGAACUGCGUCUGAUACUGGAUGGCUAGAGUUUGGGAGAGGGAUGCGGAAUUCCAGGUGUAGCGGUGAAAUGCGCAGAUAUCAGGAGGAACACCGAUGGCGAAGGCAGGUCUCUGGGCAUUAACUGACGCUGAGGAGCGAAAGCAUGGGGAGCGAACAGG